rnacentral:rRNA from 1 species
GACGAACGCUGGCGGCGUGCCUAACACAUGCAAGUCGAACGAAGUGAAGAUUUCGGUUUUCACUUAGUGGCGGACGGGUGAGUAACGCGUGAGUAACCUGCCUUUCAGAGGGGGAUAGCGUUUGGAAACGAACGGUAAUACCGCAUGACAUCAUUGAACUGCAUGGUUCGAUGAUCAAAGGAGCAAUCCGCUGAAAGAUGGACUCGCAUCCGAUUAGCUAGUUGGCGGGAUAACAGCCCACCAAGGCGACGAUCGGUAGCCGAACUGAGAGGUUGAUCGGCCACAUUGGGACUGAGACACGGCCCAG